ACCGCAGCACAUAGUCUGUUGGAAUACAGCGGCAUAGUGGUGAUACCCCAUUACACGGUGCGGACGCCCAGCGCUUUGUGAUACACUUUCGACGAGUCGAGUGUUUGGGAAUGCAGCUCAAAUUGGGUGGUAAAUUCCAUCUAAAGCUAAAUAUUGGCGAGAGACCGAUAGCGAACAAGUACCGUGAGGGAAAGAUGAAAAGCACUUUGGAAAGAGAGUUAAAAGUACGUGAAAUUGUUGGAAGGGAAACGCUUGAAGUCAGACUUGCUUGCCGGGCUUGCUCGGUUUGCAGAGCCAGCAUCAGUUCUUCCGGGGCGGAUAAUGGCAGUAAGAAUGUAGCAUGUCUCGGCAUGUGUUAUAGCUU
rnacentral:rRNA from 1 species